GCUAUUUUGGCAGAUUAUAUGUGUUAGAUUUAGGAUUUAAAAAGAUAGAGUUAAGAUCUAUAAAUAGUAAUUUAAUUAUGGCUAAUUAUUUUGUGAUAAUAU
rnacentral:tRNA from 1 species